rnacentral:rRNA from 1 species
UACGUAGGGACCAAGCGUUGUUCGGAUUUACUGGGCGUAAAGGGCGCGUAGGCGGCAAUUCAAGUCAGCUGUGAAAUCUCCGGGCUUAACCUGGGAACCGCGCUUGAGACUGGCACGCUAGAGUUCGGGAGAGGAUGGUGGAAUUCCCAGUGUAGAGGUGAAAUUCGUAGAUAUUGGGAAGAACACCGAUGGCGAAGGCAGCCAUCUGGACCGACACUGACGCUGAGGCGCGAAAGCGUGGGGAGCAAACAGG